CGAGAGGUAGUAUAACCGUUAAAUUACAUGACGCUUACAACGUCAAAAUAAGAGUGAUUGCUCUUCCUCUUGA
rnacentral:tRNA from 1 species